GACGAACGCUGGCGGCGUGCCUAAUACAUGCAAGUCGAGCGCAGGAAACUGACGGAACUCUUCGGAGGGAAGGCAGCGGAAUGAGCGGCGGACGGGUGAGUAACACGUAAGGAACCUGCCUCAAGGAUUGGGAUAACUCCGAGAAAUCGGAGCUAAUACCGGAUAGUUCAACGGACCGCAUGGUCCGCUGAUGAAAGGCGCUUCGGCGUCACCUUGAGAUGGCCUUGCGGUGCAUUAGCUAGUUGGUGGGGUAACGGCCCACCAAGGCGACGAUGCCUAGCCGACCUGAGAGGGUGAUCGGCCACACUGGGGCUGAGACACGGCCCAGACUCCUACGGGAGGCAGCAGUAGGGAAUCUUGCACAAUGGACGAAAGUCUGAUGGAGCAACGCCGCGUGAGUGAUGAAGGUUUUCGGAUCGUAAAACUCUGUUGUAAGGGAAGAACACGUACGAGAGGAAAUGCUCGUACCUUGACGGUACCUUACGAGAAAGCCACGGCUAACUACGUGCCAGCCGCCGCCGUAAAAC
rnacentral:rRNA from 1 species